rnacentral:rRNA from 1 species
GACGAACGCUGGCGGCGUGCUUAACACAUGCAAGUCGAACGGUGAAGCAGAGCUUGCUCUGUGGAUCAGUGGCGAACGGGUGAGUAACACGUGAGUAACCUGCCCUUGACUCUGGGAUAAGCGUUGGAAACGACGUCUAAUACCGGAUACGAGCUGAGACCGCAUGGUCAUCAGUUGGAAAGAUUUUUUGGUCAAGGAUGGACUCGCAGCCUAUCAGCUUGUUGGUGAGGUAAUGGCUCACCAAGGCGACGACGGGUAGCCGGCCUGAGAGGGUGACCGGCCACACUGGGACUGAGACACGGCCCAGACUCCUACGGGAGGCAGCAGUGGGGAAUAUUGCACAAUGGGCGCAAGCCUGAUGCAGCAACGCCGCGUGAGGGAUGACGGCCUUCGGGUUGUAAACCUCUUUUAGUAGGGAAGAAGCGAAAGUGACGGUACCUGCAGAAAAAGCACCGGCUAACUACGUG